rnacentral:rRNA from 1 species
CCUACGGGUGGCAGCAGUGAGGAAUAUUGGUCAAUGGACGCAAGUCUGAACCAGCCAUGCCGCGUGCAGGAAGACGGCUCUAUGAGUUGUAAACUGCUUUUGUACGAGGGUAAACGCAGAUACGCGUAUCUGUCUGACAUUAUCGUACGAAUAAGGAUCGGCUAACUACGUGCCAGCAGCCCCGGCAAUACGGAGGAUUCAAGCGUUGUCCGGAUUUAUUGGGUUUAAAGGGUGCGUAGGCGGUCGGAUAAGUUAGAUGUGAAAUCCCGAGGCUCAACUUCGGAAUUGCAUCUGAUACUGUUCGGCUAGAGAGUAGAUGAGGUAGGCGGAAUGUAUGGUGUAGCGGUGAAAUGCUUAGAGAU